rnacentral:rRNA from 1 species
GACGAACGCUGGCGGCGUGCUUAACACAUGCAAGUCGAGCGGUAAGGCCCUUUCGGGGGUACACGAGCGGCGAACGGGUGAGUAACACGUGGGUGACCUGCCCUCAGCUCUGGGAUAAGCCUGGGAAACCGGGUCUAAUACUGGAUAUGACUCCAUGACGCAUGUUGUGGGGUGGAAAGCCUUGUGCGGCUGAGGAUGGGCCCGCGGCCUAUCAGCUUGUUGGUGGGGUNANGGCCUACCAAGGCGACGACGGGUAGCCGGCCUGAGAGGGCGACCGGCCACACUGGGACUGAGACACGGCCCAGACUCCUACGGGAGGCAGCAGUGGGGAAUCUUGCGCAAGUGGGCGAAAGCCUGACGC